AUGUGCAGAAGCAAUACAAAAUGCUUAGAUAUCACGUGCAGAAUUGAGAUGGAUACAUGGUGUGUUAAAAUUGUACAAUGCACUAGAAAGUCCUACUCUGGCAGACUCGCAGCACUGAAUUUCUUUCAUCUCAAACAGAGAAGACUGAUACAAGUAUUCAAAAUCUUCAUAAGGACAGCAACCCAUUGGAGUUCUUCAGAAUCCAUGAUGAAACCGGAACCCGGAACCACAGGGGGUCACAAGUGAAAUAUGUGUGCAAGCACGUCUGUGCAGGUACUUCUUUACACAAAGAGGUUGUGGGAGUAUGGACCAUGCCAUCACAGCUAUGGUGUUGAAGCCAAUUCCCUGAAUUCUUUUAAGAAACGCCUGCAAGAGAUGCUCAGAUCAAUUCGCUAAAUGGCUCCUCUCACUGUUUGCCUCUCCCUGUAAACCUCCUUACAGCUCCCUACACUAUGAACCAGGAAGGGCUAUCCCAGGGUGCUCUGGCUUUCAUUAGAACACAGGAACACAAGAAAAGGUGACAAACACCAGUGGGCCAACUGGACUUUUUUGGUCUCUCGUAGCCGACUGAUCCGAGAAUCUCGUCCAGCCAUUUCCUGUAAGGAUUGUGGGGAAUCGGCUCCAACAUCGUGACACGGCAGAGACCUUUCUCCAACCCAGGGCUUAACUGAGCAGCAGAACCAACAGUUCAAGUAGUAAAAUAAGCUGUCCUGUCCGGCCAUUAUCAGUUCUGUAAGAACCUGAUCUCCAGGGGAAACAAAGACACAUCGAGAAAAAGGAAUCAAAGCCAGUUUCUCAGAGGGACUAUGCUCUAAGCUUGGGGUCCCCAGCUCUUUUUCAGCAUCCCAGCUCUAAGCACUGAAAAGAGUCUACAGGAACUGCAUUUACAAAUUAAAGUGUUUCACAUCAGAUAUAACGCUCAUCAUCACUCACUCCAAUGCUAACAACGCAGUUCAACUUUCGUGCAAUAAAACUGCUUUCGAUUUAAAUGAUCUCCUCGACGACGUGCACUGAGGCUGCUGUCCGAUGACUCAGCUCCCGAGUCGUCAUGUUAAGACCUGGCAGACGCGGAAUUUGCAUUUGUUUGUGUUUGCUUGUGUAGCCCGCAGCCCCCGCUGCCCGCCCCGGUCCGGCGUUGCCCGCAGUCCCGCGAGCAGCCCCCAGGCUCCUGCCUCCCGCUGGGCACGCCCGGGUGCGGCGCCUGCCCCUCUCAGUCUCUCAGCAGCAGGUACUGCUGCACGGACUCGGGCAGGGGCAGCUCCUUGACGGCGGC
rnacentral:lncRNA from 1 species